rnacentral:rRNA from 1 species
GUGUCAGCCGCCGCGGUAAUACGGAGGGUGCGAGCGUUGUUCGGAAUUAUUGGGCGUAAAGCGCGUGUAGGCGGCUUCAUAAGUCUGAUGUGAAAGCCCUGGGCUCAACCUGGGAAGUGCAUUGGAUACUGUGAGACUUGAGUACGGGAGAGGGCAGUGGAAUUCCUAGUGUAGGAGUGAAAUCCGUAGAUAUUAGGAGGAACACCGGUGGCGAAGGCGGCUGCCUGGACCGAUACUGACGCUGAGACGCGAAAGCGUGGGGAGCAAACAGGAUUAGAAACCCUAGUAGUCC